AAAAAAAAGGAGAAGAAAAAGGGGGCUAGCAAAGUUGUUAGGAGCUGAGAGACAUUUUGAGGUUGUGAAAAAUCCCUUAUAGAUUUCAAGUAAAAAGAGCUGAUGUUUUUAGAAUCUUUUGGUGAGAGGUGUGAGUUGGGUUUGACAUUUGAGAGUGAAUGUGUAACUUAUAUGUUUGGGAAAAGGGUAGAACAAUGGAGAUUGAGCAUUGUAUGCAUGAGUUGGUCCCUUUCUUAGAUAUAUUAUGUGCAAUGUCAAGGCUACUUGUUUUGAGAGUAAACCACCUUAAAGAUCAUAUGUUUUGAACCUCUU
rnacentral:lncRNA from 1 species